UACGGAGGGUGCAAGCGUUAUCCGGAUUCACUGGGUUUAAAGGGAGCGCAGGCGGAUUGGUAAGUCAGUGGUGAAAGCCUUAAGCUUAACUUGGGAACUGCCAUUGAUACUAUCAGUCUUGAAUAUUGUUGAGGUUUGCGGAAUGGGUCAUGUAGCGGUGUAAUGCAUAGAUAUGACCCGGAACACCUAUUGCGAAGGCAGCCGGCUAUACCACGAUUGACGCUGAGGCUCGAAAGCGUGGGGAUCAAACAGG
rnacentral:rRNA from 1 species